GACGAACGCUGGCGGCGCGCCUAACACAUGCAAGUCGAACGAGCGAGAGAGAGCUUGCUUUCUCGAGCGAGUGGCGAACGGGUGAGUAACGCGUGAGGAACCUGCCUCAAAGAGGGGGACAACAGUUGGAAACGACUGCUAAUACCGCAUAAGCCCACGGCUCGGCAUCGAGCAGAGGGAAAAGGAGCAAUCCGCUUUGAGAUGGCCUCGCGUCCGAUUAGCUAGUUGGUGAGGUAAUGGCCCACCAAGGCGACGAUCGGUAGCCGGACUGAGAGGUUGAACGGCCACAUUGGGACUGAGACACGGCCCAGACUCCUACGGGAGGCAGCAGUGGGGAAUAUUGCACAAUGGGGGAAACCCUGAUGCAGCGACGCCGCGUGGAGGAAGAAGGUCUUCGGAUUGUAAACUCCUGUUGUUGGGGAAGAUAAUGACGGUACCCAACAAGGAAGUGACGGCUAACUACGUGCCAGCAGCCGCGGUAAAACGUAGGUCACAAGCGUUGUCCGGAAUUACUGGGUGUAAAGGGAGCGCAGGCGGGAAGACAGUUGGAAGUGAAAUCUAUGGGCUCAACCCAUAAACUGCUUUUCAAACUGUUUUUCUUGAGUAGUGCAGAGGUAGGCGGAAUUCCCGGUGUAGCGGUGGGAUGCGUAGAUAUCGGGAGGAACACCAGUGGCGAAGGCGGCCUACUGGGCACCAACUGACGCUGAGGCUCGAAAGUGUGGGUAGCAAACAGGAUUAGAUACCCUGGUAGUCCACACCGUAAACGAUGAUUACUAGGUGUUGGAGGAUUGACCCCUUCAGUGCCGCAGUUAACACAAUAAGUAAUCCACCUGGGGAGUACGACCGCAAGGUUGAAACUCAAAGGAAUUGACGGGGGCCCGCACAAGCAGUGGAGUAUGUGGUUUAAUUCGACGCAACGCGAAGAACCUUACCAAGUCUUGACAUCCCUUGACAGGCAUAGAAAUAUGUUUUCUCUUCGGAGCAAGGAGACAGGUGGUGCAUGGUUGUCGUCAGCUCGUGUCGUGAGAUGUUGGGUUAAGUCCCGCAACGAGCGCAACCCUUAUGGUCAGUUACUACGCAAGAGGACUCUGGCCAGACUGCCGUUGACAAAACGGAGGAAGGUGGGGAUGACGUCAAAUCAUCAUGCCCUUUAUGACUUGGGCUACACACGUACUACAAUGGCGUUAAACAAAGAGAAGCAAGACCGCGAGGUGGAGCAAAACUCAGAAACAACGUCCCAGUUCGGACUGCAGGCUGCAACUCGCCUGCACGAAGUCGGAAUUGCUAGUAAUCGUGGAUCAGCAUGCCACGGUGAAUACGUUCCCGGGCCUU
rnacentral:rRNA from 1 species